UUUUAUUAAGGCCCGCGGGCUGAUGUGGGAUCGCUCCCGCCAAACAUCAGCGCUGGCUUAAAGGAAGGAGGAAAUGAGUCGAUAACGGGCCCAUCUGCCCCCCAGAGCUGGACGCAGAGAAGAAGGAACGACCUGGGCCGGAUCGGAGGCCCGCAGCCCGCCCAGGCCCACUCUUCCGCCUUCCUUCUCCCCUUCCUUCUCCGCCUGCCUGGGGCAACCAGGCCUCACCUGGGCCCCGCCUGCUGCCGUGCACAGGAGAACAAAGAGAGACGCUGUCCUUUCCUGCCCCCAGGACCAGCCUGGUCUGGCCGAUCCUGCCAGAAGCUGGAGCCAGAGGACAGAAUUUCCGAGGUUAUUGUGGGGUCAGCCCAGCAGGGUUGGUCUGUGCCCCUGCCCAGUAGCCUGUGGGCACCGCCGAGGGGUGGGCGAAAAGGUCAGGCAGGUCCUGCCCUGGAACAGGGUGCCUACACCAGCAGAGAACCCCCAGCUGAGCACCCACCCAGGCCUAUAGACGCAGCUUAAAGCUGCUGUGCUCUCCCACCCCUUCUCUCUGGAAGUGGGCUCACAAUGGGUGCUGGGGAUCCAGUGCUCUACACUCCAGGAGUCCAAGUCCCAGUUGGCCCAAAGCAGGUGAAGGGGUGGGACUGCCAGCCUUUCUUUAGAGUUGCUCAGGCGUUGCUGGGAGAGGGGGGCCCAGAGGCCGCAGGUGGUAGCCCCACCCCCACCCCAGGGGCCACCUCUCCAGGGAGCUAUUGUGUGGCCCAACCCAGCACCCACCCCAUGCUGCUCUCCUCUCCCUUUGUUUGUCUCCUUCCCCAUACCUGUCUGUAAUUAUUCUGUUUUGGACACUUUCUGACUUUCUCUGAGUCCCAAGAGCACAGGACCUGACUUCUCACUGGUGGGCCCCCAGCACUCCUCAGAGCAGGUGACGCAGUGGACACUUGGGCUUGUGCCCUGGGCUGCACCCUUCCUAGCUUUAGCCUUUCUGGUAGUGGAGGCCAGUACUUCCCAGGUGUGUCUCAUGCCAGCUGAGCAUCCUUGGGAGACCCCAGCUUUAAGUAAAGAGGUACAGCCCUCUGGAUAAACUGACCUAACGCACAGAACAGAGACAGGCAGACAGGAGCUCCAUGUGUACCCUUCCUGACCCAGGAAGGGAAGCAGGGAGGGCGGUGCUGCUAGGUCUCUGCUUUCUAGAACUUCCUGAAAAUCUUAGGGCUUGGAUCCAGGAGCCAGAUAGGUUUGUGGUGGGUCUCUCUAGAGUGACCCUCCUGUAUUUCCAGGGUAAGGAGGGAGGGGGCUCUGGGUCAGAUGGCCUAGAUUAAAACCUCUGCCU